rnacentral:rRNA from 1 species
AACGAACGCUGGCGGCAGGCUUAACACAUGCAAGUCGAGCGCCCCGCAAGGGGAGCGGCAGACGGGUGAGUAACGCGUGGGAACGUACCUUUUGGUUCGGAACAACUCCGGGAAACUGGAGCUAAUACCGGAUAAGCCCUAACGGGGAAAGAUUUAUCGCCGAAAGAUCGGCCCGCGUCUGAUUAGCUAGUUGGUGAGGUAACGGCUCACCAAGGCGACGAUCAGUAGCUGGUCUGAGAGGAUGAUCAGCCACACUGGGACUGAGACACGGCCCAGACUCGACGGGGGGGGAGGAGGGAGGAGUAGUGGCGAGGGCGCGGCAGCUGUCGCCAGUCAGGCCGCGUGGGAUUUUAAGUUCUUGUGUGAUUAAAGUCCUUUGGUCGGGGCAGAUAACUACCUUACCAGAAGAAGACCGCCGGGUUGUCUGCGUGUCACGAGCCGAAGUACUAAUCCGAAGACCAAUGUCUGACC